UCUUCCUCUUUAUAUUGAGA
rnacentral:snRNA from 1 species